rnacentral:rRNA from 1 species
CCCUUAGAUGUCCGGGGCCGCACGCGCGCUACACUGAACGAAUCAGCGUGGCUUUCUCCCUGACCCGAAAGGGUUGGGAAACCCGUUGAAUCUCCUUCGUGAUAGGGAUUGGGGCUUGAAAUUGUUCCCCAUGAACGAGGAAUUCCCAGUAAGCGCGAGUCAUAAGCUCGCGUUGAUUACGUCCCUGCCCUUUGUACACACCGCCCGUCGCUACUACCGAUUGAACGGUUUAGUGAGGGCCUCGGAUUGGUCUCGGCCCGCUCUUUACCGGGCGGCGCCGUUGGUCGAGAAGACGCUCGAACUUGAUCGUUUAGAGGAAGUAAAAGUCGUAACA